AUUUUGAAUGGCCAUCCAUUUUCUACAAAAAAUCAAAACAAAUCCCCAACCCCCAUUCUUCUAUCCUUCAUUUGGAAGCCAGAUAAUCUUAACCCACGAUUGGAAGAGGAAGUUCUUCCUUUGUUCCCUUUUGGCUCAGUCCCGGCGAUGGAGAAGGAGACUCCGGCGACGUAACCGUAAGGCGAUUUAGGUGAUGGAACAAGAGUAGGGCUGGUAGAGGCAGGUGGUGUCAGAGAAGCAUGGAGGUUGGCGAUGGCGUGUAGGCAACGGUGGCAGAGUUGGUGGCCGGUGCAAGUGGGAAGGUGGCUAGAUUUUUUUGUUCUGACUAGCUUUGUGUUUUUUCUUUUGGGCUAGGGUUUAGGUUUAGAUUGGGUUUGGGCUUGUUUAAUUAAUGUUGGGUUUGGGUUGGUUUGUAAUGGGUUGUUGGGCUAAUUUGGGCUCCUACAGCAGCUAAGUUUCAAGUUUGACCAUUUUCGAUACAAAACCUACUUAAACCUUAGAUAAA